CAGAUGGAAAGGCAGCUCAACAUCUGAGAAGCCAGCCUUACUCCCUAUAGGCAACAGCUGCUUCCAGAAACAGUCCUAUAAUUGUCACCAUCAGAUCCAUACAUUUUCAAGGGAGUUGGUCCCACACCAGAAGUCAUAGCUGAAUCGCCAGUAGUAAUGCAGAGACUCAGGACAUACUGGUUGCUUCUUGGCUUUUCCAACCCUCUGCCAUGCCUGAACAUAUUUGUGAAAGUCUAAGAACAACAAAUAAGCUUAAGGAUAAACUGACUGCCCCACCCAGCCACACCACCACAACCCCCUGUUAAACUCAUUCAUGACUUGUAGAAUCCUUUCCUCCACUGUCAUUAAAAUGUCUUUUACAUUUUCCCUCCUUAAAACACCAGUUUACUGAACGGAAAACUAUUUCCUAAAUAUUGGCUACACACACAGCAGUAUACAGAGUUCCCAGGGGAUGAAUUUUUUUUGUCAUCUUUUAAAUCUAGUUAUAUGUGGAUUUAAUUACCUUCUCUCUAGAUUACUACACCAAGAUAUAGUUCCUACUGGAAGAUAAUGAUCUGACCUAACCUACUAUUGACUGAAGGGAGGAGAAAAGCAGCUGAAGAUGUCUGUUGAGUGAUUACCCUCAUAAUCCAUGACUAGAACAUCCAAAUCAGCAUGGCUUGUUCCUGCCUGAAAUUAUUACUACUUAGGGUUUUUCACAUGUUAUUUCAUUUAUUGAUUAUUCUGUUUUACACUUGCAAGAUGUAUUGUCUCUCCAGAAAUAAAACUUUAUCACUUGCUUCAUCAA